UUCAUCACACAAAUGCAUUUCCAACAGUAACUAUCCUUCAGAAGUAUUCAAUUGACCAAGUAGUCUUUCCUGGCUUCCUGAGGAUAUGAAAAGUACUUGAAGAUCACAAGCACUUUCAUCUUUCUAUUUAGUUACAAUAAUUCUGGAGUUAAGUGCUCUCGAGAGUUCAGGACCAAUCCGCAUUCCCCCCCGGAUCGGGUUUCACUAUAAGAUCACGGCGUAUCCAGCCGGUGGGGUGCAGCAGAUCCGACUGCUUGUCAAAGCCACCAGGGAUCUCCCUUCCAUCCUUCGCGAUCUAAAGGGCCCAGCUCAAAAUGUCUGACACUGAAGAAGUGUA